rnacentral:rRNA from 1 species
GACGAACGCUGGCGGCGUGCUUAACACAUGCAAGUCGAACGGAAAGGCCCUGCUUUUGUUGGGUGCUCGAGUGGCGAACGUGUGAGUAACACGUGAGUAACCUGCCCUUGACUUUGGGAUAACUUCAGGAAACUGGGGCUAAUACCGGAUAUGAGCGCCUGCUGCAUGGUGGGGGUUGGAAAGUUUCGGCGGUUGGGGAUGGACUCGCGGCUUAUCAGCUUGUUGGUGGGGUAGUGGCUUACGAAGGCUUUGACGGGUAGCCGGCCUGAGAGGGUGACCGGCCACAUUGGGACUGAGCUACGGCCCAGACUCCUACGGGAGGCAGUAGUGGGGAAGAUUGAACAAUGGGCGGAAGCCUGAGGCAGCAACGCCGCGUGCGGGAUGACGGCCUUCGGGUUGUAACCCGCUUUCGCCUGUGACGAAGCGUGAGUGACGGUAAUGGGUAAAGAAGCACCGGCUAACUACGUG